GUAGUAGCCGAAGAUUUCGACAGGAAAUUGGUGCAAUCGUUGUGUUGAUUCUUCUUGUAUUAGCAGUUUAUUGCCUUGAGAUAAUGUGAAUGGUUAUGCUUUUUCAAUAUACAGUUAUUUCCAAACAUGAAAGAAAUGUGUGGAUGAGAGGGUUAUAUUCUCUUUAGAAAUUAUCUGCAACUACGCAGUCAUUUCGUAUGCCUCAUUAGUACUAAAAAAUUGAGACGGGUUUAUUAGUUACGCGCAAGUGGGUUACUCCCGUGUGAACCAGAACUCCCAGCAGAUGAUACUGGGACUUAAGUAUUAACGAGAACAGUAGUGUGGCUAACAAGCUGUAUUCCACAAGUCCACACUGGAAUAGGACAUAGCCUACCAAGAGCCAUACAAGAUCGUUUUUGCAGAAUACCAGUUUACAAUCUAUGCGGAGUUCCUUUCUCAGAUUGUUUGUCUGCUGCCAUGGAAUACAAUAAUGGAGCAUUCUCCACAGGGGAGGAAAACCGGUAUGAAGAGAACAUGCUGGCUUUGUCCUUUCUUCGCUGUCUGAGGCGUUGGCUACUCUUCCAGUUAUCUGCCAACAGCGGGAUGCGGGAAAGUUCGACAACAUGGUGCUGGUGUGCUGACCCGGGGGAGCCCCAGAGGCACACACCCUGCUUGCCCCGGUCAAGCACAAGACCUCCCGGAAAUACGUGAUACUAAACAAUGACGUGUGGCUGUCCUGCUGUGACUUGUCUCUCCUGCAGAUAAAUCAGCAAAUUACUGGAGAUGAACAUGUUAUAUUUAUCUUGCUGACACUCGUGUCACAGUGACAGUGUUCUGCGCCAGGAUGUGGACAGUGUCCCAGGGUCGGAGCAAAUGGCAGGCACUAGUAGAUGAAUAUGUCAGGAAGGAGGUGACCAGGUGCAGAGGAAUGUUCACCAAGCUGCACCUGGUCACCUCCUUCCUGAAGUAUUCUGACCGCCAGACUCAAGUACUACAGCGUGAGAGACAUCUGGGGCUAUGCGGAGCCCUGAAACUCGGCACGGGUGAGGCCUCCAGAAAGUGAAACAGUGGCUCUCCCUGUUAAGAAGAUCCACCGAGCACAGGCUCACGACACACACAUCGUGAUGGCUAUGGAGCGGUUCAAAGUUCUGCGACAUGAGAUUCUCCAUUCCUGGGAACUAUCUUGCCCAUGGUGUGUACCCUUCACAGUAUGGUGGUAAGAGAAUAAUUUUUUUUAAUUAUGCACUUGAACUUUUCUUCCAUGGAAUUACAGAAAAAUUAUUGGUUAACCGUAGUCGGCCAUUAUUGGCAAUUGUCAGAACAUAUUUUAAAUCCGUUUCACUAAAAUCUGCACUCUGAACCGCUCCACAGCCACCAUGAUGUGUGUUUCGUGAGCCAGUACUUGGUGGAUCUUCUUAGCAGAGAGGCUAUCAUCCAUCGGUGGCCAUCAUCAGAACAACUGAAAUCAGCAUUGGAUACAGCAGUGUGUGUUCAGCCCUGUAAAAUACUCUCAUUUGAUGAUUUAGUGUCGUAGUUCUGUGUAUUUUGAGAUGCAUGGUUUAUUGUAAAUGUAUUCUGUAGGUCUAAAGGCUGUUCCCAUUUUGGAGCAAUGUAUUUCAUAAACAGUAUUUUCUAGGCUAGUCUCUUAAAUGGUAUACCUACAUAUACAGAAACUCUAUUUUUCCAAAGCUUUUGGAACCAAUUGUGCAGUUUUCCCAGUUCAAAUGAGAUAUGGGUAACUACUUAUUCUGCUUAUUCUUUAAGAAUAGCUACCUGUUUCUGUUGGACACGAAUUGGGACGGGGUGAGAGGUUGGGUGAAAGGUAAACAGUUGGGUGAGUGUGUGGGGACACUGGGUUACCUUAGAUUGAGGCAAAGAUAAUUACACGAGCGGAGGAGACACAUUUUCUGGUGGAUGAAAACUGCAUGCUAGCUGAAACUAAAACCUGUCACAUUUGCCUUUCAUGGGUAAAUGCUCUUACUGACUCAGUUAUUCUUAUUCAGGUUUCAUUUAUGAUCAGCCCUGCCAGCUUUACUUCAGACAGUACCUUUCUGCUACUUUCCAAACCUCACUGGAGUUCUCUUGCAUGCCUUGCUGUAUUAGUACUGGAAGAAAGGGUGUUGUGGAGAAAUCAUUUGCCCCCAACCUAAUGAAGUGUUUCUGGAACGAAUUUUUGCUUGACAGUGAAGGGUGUGCUGUUGAAAAACUUAGUUUAAUCCCAAUAGUAUUAAUUCCACAAGAUACAAGCAUAUGGGAGAAUUUCUAUGAAGUUUGGAAAGUAGAAGAGAGGAAAAGUGUAGCUUUAAGGGUGUGUCGUGAGUUGUCUGGGUAACUCAGCUGAUAGCAUUUCUCCACAAAAGGCAAAGGUUUCAGGUUAGAGACACAGCCCAGCUCACAUCUUUCAUUUGCCAAGAAGUUUAAACACAGCGCGCACUCUGCAAUACUACAUAAAAUUUCAUUCACAUAACUAGUAUUCUAAUGUGUGAAUGCUACUAGUAAUGCAAUGAGCAUGUGAGCACUUAGACUGCCCUGCAGCAGUGUACUUUGCAUGUGCUCUCCCCAUAACAAAUAUUGAGACAGCAAUAAGUCAUCAGAAUCAGGUCAUCCCUGUCGGAACCAGUCAGGCUGUCCCACCAAAAAUAGAUAACGUCUUUAGUGGAGGUGAAACCUGUGCUAUUUACAAUUAAACUUGAAAGUAUCAGAAGAACUGCAUAUGAAUCUCUCCCCAUUGUACAAAGCA
rnacentral:lncRNA from 1 species